rnacentral:rRNA from 1 species
CACGUAGGCGGAUCGGUAAGUCAGAUGUGAAAUCCCGGAGCUCAACUCCGGAACUGCAUUUGAUACUGCCAGUCUUGAGUGAGGUAGAGGGGGGUGGAAUUCCCGGUGUAGAUGUGAAAUUCGUAGAUAUCGGGAGGAACACCAGAGGCGAAGGCGACCCCCUGGGCCUUUACUGACGCUGAGGUGCGAAAGCGUGGGGAGCAAACA